CAGGCAAAACAAAGAAGCCCA
rnacentral:snRNA from 1 species